ACAUCAUUUCAUGUCUCUAAUGCCCGAACAACAUGUGAAAAACACGGCAGUCAAUGCACAUUGCAUGAUUCUCAACGACAUAAAAUGUCCUUGGUUUCAGAAAGAUAUAUACUGUGUGCCGACAGAUAUUGUGAUAAGCCAGAUUUUUUAUUCCCUGCUGAUUGAAUGUUUAUUACGUUUUAUCCAAAACAUGAAUGGAGUUCUGUUCAGUGGAGUUGGUCAAGUUGAUUCAUUUGAUUGUCAAGUGUUCAAUGUUUAUAUUGGGAACCCAUGGCGAGAAAUACAUUGAUCCAAAGACCAACAAGGUCUACCGGAUGGAUGUCGAUCGAUAUGCACACUAUCGCUAAUUUCUUGACAAAAGAAAACUCGCAUCGCAUCCAUUUCUGUUUGUGCCGAUUUGCAAUGGACGACACUGGUGGUUGUGGAUUGUCGAUGUCCGGAAAAAGGCAUUCCAUGUGCUUGACCCUGUGAACAAGAACAAAGAUGAAAUACCUGAUUUGAGAAUUAAAUUGAACAAAUUUGUUGUAAAUUAUUAAAUAUUUUCCUUGCUUAUUGAAUGUUUAUCACGUUUUAUUCAAAUCAUGAUUGGUGUUCGGUUCAGUGGAGUUGCUGAUUUUGAUUCACCUGAUUGCUAUGUGUUCACUUGGGUUCUUUUGCAUGCACAAAAUGUUUCUCUUGCUGAUUGAAUGUUCAUCACGUUUUAUUCAGAACAUGAACAAGGUUCGGUUCAUUGUAGCUGCUAAUUUUCAUUCACUUUUUGUAUCCCUUUCAAGGAUUAAUAAUCUCCCAGAUGAGGGUUUACGCUGGGGCGAAACCUUUAAUGGAGGAUGGAGAGGGAGAAGAAGCAGAGUAUAUUAGAUUGAAUGGUCAAUGUACAAGCUAUGAUUGUGCAAUAUACGUCAUGAAAUAGCUUGAAACAAUUGAUCCUCGAAAGAUCAAAAGAGGGAAAAAGUAUCAAUAUAAAGCUUGGACACAAGCUUGAAUAUGGUCCAAAUAUUCUGUUGCACAAACUGAACAAAAUCAGAGACCAAGUGAUAAGGGGAUCUGAAGCAAUAAGACUCCCGAAGUCAUCUGCUACUCUCUCCAACCCUUAAUGUAAAUUCACGUCUGGGGAUAUAUAUAGUAAAUAGGAUAUACUUUGUUUCACUGGUUGUAAUUAAUAUUAUUUUGUUUAACUUGUUUAAAAAAGCAAACACUGCUUCUUUUAAUGUAUAUAUGUGAAUAUUAAUGUAAAUGUUAAUGUAUAUAUCUAAUGUAUAUAUCUGAUUCAAGAUGGAUUA